rnacentral:rRNA from 1 species
AUUGAACGCUAGCGGGAUGCUUUACACAUGCAAGUCGAACGAGUGGCGGACGGGUGAGUAAUAUAUCGGAACGUGCCCAGUAGCGGGGGAUAACUACUCGAAAGAGUGGCUAAUACCGCAUACGAUUGGAGCGGCCGAUAUCGGCUUAGCUAGUUGGUGGGGUAAAGGCUCACCAAGGCAACGAUCCGUAGCUGGUUUGAGAGGACGACCAGCCACACUGGGACUGAGACACGGCCCAGACUCCUACGGGAGGCAGCAGUGGGUAAUUUUGGACAAUGGGGGAAACCCUGAUCCAGCCAUCCCGCGUGAGGGAGAAGGCUUUCGGGUUGUAAACCUCUUUUCACAGGGAAGCGGUACCUGUGGAAUAAGCUUCGGCUAACUACGUGCCAGCAGCCGCGGUAAUUC